rnacentral:rRNA from 1 species
GACGAACGCUGGCGGCGUGCCUAAUACAUGCCAGUUGAGCGAUGAAGAUUGGUGCUUGCACCAAUUUGAAGAGCAGCGAACGGGUGAGUAACGCGUGGGGAAUCUGCCUUUGAGCGGGGGACAACAUUUGGAAACGAAUGCUAAUACCGCAUAAUAACUUUAAACAUAAGUUUUAAGUUUGAAAGAUGCAAUUGCAUCACUCAAAGAUGACCCCGCGUUGUAUUAGCUAGUUGGUGAGGUAAAGGCUCACCAAGGCGAUGAUACAUAGCCGACCUGAGAGGGUGAUCGGCCACAUUGGGACUGAGACACGGCCCAAACUCCUACGGGAGGCAGCAGUAGGGAAUCUUCGGCAAUGGACGAAAGUCUGACCGAGCAACGCCGCGUGAGUGAAGAAGGUUUUCGGAUCGUAAAACUCUGUUGGUAGAGAAGAACGUUGGUGAGAGUGGAAAGCUCAUCAAGUGACGGUAACUACCCAGAAAGGGACGGCUAACUACGUG